AUUGAACGCUGGCGGCAGGCUUAACACAUGCAAGUCGAGCGGUAACAGAGAGAAGCUUGCUUCUCUGCUGACGAGCGGCGGACGGGUGAGUAAUGCCUAGGAAUCUGCCUAGUAGUGGGGGAUAACUUGCCGAAAGGUAGCUAAUACCGCAUACGUCCUACGGGAGAAAGGAGGGGACCUUCGGGCCUUUCGCUAUUAGAUGAGCCUAGGUCGGAUUAGUUAGUUGGUGAGGUAAUGGCUCACCAAGACCGCGAUCCGUAACUGGUCUGAGGGGAUGAGCAGUCACGCUGGAGCUGAGACACGGUCCAGACUCGUACGGGAGGCAGCAGUGGGGAAUAUUGGGCAAUGGGGGGAACCCUGGUCCAGCCAUGCCGCGUGUGUGAAGAAGGUCUUAGGAUUGUAAAGCACUUUAAGUUGGGAGGAAGAGCAGUUAACUAAUAUUUGACUGUUUUGACGUUACCGACAGAAUAAGCACCGGCUAACUUCGUGCCAGCCGCCGCAGUAA
rnacentral:rRNA from 1 species